GCGCAAGUGGUUUAGUGGUAAAAUCCAACGUUGCCAUCGUUGGGCCCCCGGUUCGAUUCCGGGCUUGCGUA
rnacentral:tRNA from 2 species